UACGGAGGGUGCAAGCGUUGUCCGGAUUUAUUGGGUUUAAAGGGUGCGUAGGCGGUUCUUUAAGUCAGCGGUGAAAGCCUCCAGCUUAACUGGAGAAAUGCCAUUGAUACUGAAGAACUUGAGUACAGACGAGGUAGGCGGAAUUGACAGUGUAGCGGUGAAAUGCAUAGAUAUUGUCAAGAACACCGAUUGCGAAGGCAGCUUACUAGACUGUAACUGACGCUGAGGCACGAAAGUGCGGGGAUCAAACAGG
rnacentral:rRNA from 1 species